rnacentral:sRNA from 1 species
CACUGUGCCAGGUGCCUAGGCAUGGAAGGUGGGGGAGGCACCCAGCCACCACCCCGAAUUGGUAAUACUUGGGCGCAGGGAGCACGAGGCCUUCGUGGUGGUCAGCCAUGGAGGGGCUUACUCUGUCUCCCAUACCCACCAGGGCAUGAAGGCAGGGCUGGAAUGGCAGCCCUAGUUCUGCGUCCCCCCCACUCUUUGGACCUUAUGCAGCUCUACACCCACGUGUCUGAGAACUUGCCACCUUAUGCCCGGCCCCGAUUCCUCAGGCUCCAGGAGUCUUUGGCCACCACAGAGACCUUCAAACAGCAGAAAGUUCGGAUGGCAAAUGACGGCUUCAACCCCAGCACCCUGUCUGACCCACUGUACGUUCUGGACCAGGCUGUAGGUGCCUACCUGCCCCUCACACCUGCCCGGUACAGCGCCCUCCUGGCAGGGAACCUUCGAAUCUGAGACCUUCCACACCUGAGGCACCUAAGGGAGGGACUCUGUGGGGUGGGGGCCGUUGCAGAUGUACUGGGCUGUCAGGGAUCUUUUCUAUACCAGAACUGCGGUCACUAUUUUGUAAUAAAUGU